UACGGGGGGGGCAAGCGUUGUUCGGAAUUACUGGGCGUAAAGGGCGCGUAGGCGGUUUAGCAAGUCAGAUGUGAAAUCCCGGGGCUUAACUCCGGAAGUGCAUUUGAAACUGCUAGGCUAGAGUGCUGUAGAGGAUGGCGGAAUACCCAGUGGAGAGGUGAAAUUCGUAGAUAUGGGGAGGAACACCGGUGGCGAAGGCGGCCACCUGGACGGUCACUGACGCUGAGACGCGAAAGCGUGGGUAGCAAACAGG
rnacentral:rRNA from 1 species